GCGUGUGUGUGUGUGUUUUACGCACACGUCGGAUGCCUCACCAGCGCCUACAAAGGAUCAAGUGUCGUCUGAGACAAAAAGGCAAAGAGACGGUAACGCCACGGCUGAUAGCAGACCCCAGUGUUGGCUAACAUGAAGGCAGCCGUUCGUCCUUCUGCUGACCCACAUCUUAUCUGGACGCCAUGCAGUAGCUGAUUGCCUGCUGGAUCAACAUGCUAAAGCAGAUUACAGAGCAGCAGACGUGAAGAGGCCUCUAGAACACCCACGUUCCUCUGCUUUUCAAAGCUUACAGCACAGUCUUGCUCUCUCUAUCACCUCAUGCAUUUGUUACUCUAUUAAUGUUUUUAUUGUUGUAAUGUUCUAUUAAUUUUAGCUGAGAGUACGCCUCUGCACUCGUCUGUCACUAAACUGCCUCAUGAUUACUGUAAAUGUGGAGUCAUGAGCCCUGCAGCACUGGCUAAUCCUCAGAUAAAAAGGCUAAGUAUUUGGAUUAAAAAAACACCUA